CGUACACUCCUGCGGGAGGCAGCAGUGGGGAAUAUUGGACAAUGGGCGCAAGCCUGAUCCAGCCAUGCCGCGUGAGUGAUGAAGGCCCUAGGGUUGUAAAGCUCUUUCACCGGUGAAGAUAAUGACGGUAACCGGAGAAGAAGCCCCGGCUAACUUCGUGCCAGCAGCCGCGGUAAUACGAAGGGGGCUAGCGUUGUUCGGAUUUACUGGGCGUAAAGCGCACGUAGGCGGACUAUUAAGUCAGGGGUGAAAUCCCGGGGCUCAACCCCGGAACUGCCUUUGAUACUGGUAGUCUUGAGUUCGAGAGAGGUGAGUGGAAUUCCGAGUGUAGAGGUGAAAUUCGUAGAUAUUCGGAGGAACACCAGUGGCGAAGGCGGCUCACUGGCUCGAUACUGACGCUGAGGUGCGAAAGCGUGGGGAGCAAACAGGAUUAGAUACCCGUGUAGUCCCAUGAU
rnacentral:rRNA from 1 species